UCUAGUGGUCUUUAUUUCAUAGUAGAUUUACAGAAAAGAGGGUUGCGAGAGAAGAGGAAGACAUGCAUCAAACCUGUGGUGGACGCAUUGAGGACUGAGGCCUCCAUACAUGGAUCACGUGCUCUACUCUUUGUUCCACUGCCACACCCAGACCAAUUUUCAGAAGAACAUUGACCCUUUGCAACUACAUCACCUAUUCGUACUGCCAUGGUGGACGUCGGAAGUGAGCUUCCUGUGUAAUGUCUCAUGACUUGGUGGACACGGUGGAAGGCCUGCCUUAUCAGAUGAAGCUACGCGCAUCGCCACAAAGGAGAGGCCUUGUGUGCGAGGGGCCGUGACAACUGCGGCACGGUGACCUUUAAUCCCUGACAGCAUGGGAAAGUGGGCACUCUCAGCUGUUAGGACUCCAGCGGAUCCUCCUGAGCAAUAGUUUAUGAUCACACAUUAAUGGGAAGAUGCACUAAAAAACACAGAGGAUCGACAAAGUGCACACCAAAGAAAAAAAAAAAAAAGGCCUACGGUAUAUCAGGGUUGCUGUGGUUACAGCUUCACAGUGGUAUACUCCCUCCAGAUUCAUUUGCUCGCACACACACACAAAGCUAUUUAAGACCUAGAAAUAUUUCUGCCUCUCUCGUUAUGUUCUCACAGUCCUCAGUUGCUGUAGGAAUGUAAAGUAUCCAGAACCCGGUUCCCCCCUAGGCCCUGGUGAACAGGAUGGUGGUGAGACCCUUGAUUUAAACAACUUUGAUUGUUCCCAUGUCACUUGCUGCAACAAUCUAUACACCAGAGUCCUCCGUCAGCUGCUCCGCCUCAAAGGUUUUUCCAGGAACAGAUACAUCCCCCUACUGUAGCUCCAUUCAACCUACUGUGCACUUCAUGAACAACAAGGCUGUUAUUUGUUUUUAUUUUUAAAAAAAGGUUAUGCUUCAUUGGAAAAAAUCUUGUGAUUUUCUUAGAUUUCUACAUUUUAAGUAGCGAUUUAAACGAUUUCGUGGUCGAUUCUGGGUGUGCAUGUACUCAGUUGUUUUGUUAAAAUAAAAUAUUCUGCUGCUUUUGCACCAGGAAAACAC